AUUGAACGCUGGCGGAAUGCUUUACACAUGCAAGUCGAAUGGCAGCACGGGGGCAACCCUGGUGGCGAGUGGCGAACGGGUGAGUAAUACAUCGGAACGUGCCCAGUCGUGGGGGAGAACGUAGCGAAAGUUACGCUAAUACCGCAUACGAUCUACGGAUGAAAGCGGGGGACCGUAAGGACUAGCGCGAUUGGAGCGGUCGAUGUCAGAUUAGGUAGUUGGUGAGGUAAAGGCUCACCAAGCCGACAAUCUGUAGCUGGUCUGAGAGGACGACCAGCCACACUGGGACUGAGACACGGCCCAGACUCCUACGGGAGGCAGCAGUGGGGAAUUUUGGACAAUGGGCGCAAGCCUGAUCCAGCCAUUCCGCGUGCAGGACGAAGGCCUUCGGGUUGUAAACUGCUUUUGUACGGAACGAAAAGGCUCUGGUUAAUACCUGGGGCUCAUGACGGUACCGUAAGAAUAAGCACCGGCUAACUACGUGCCAGCAGCCGCAGUAA
rnacentral:rRNA from 1 species